CGCGGGAUAGAGCAGUUGGUAGCUCGUUGGGCUCAUAACCCAAAGGUCGUCAGUUCGAGUCUGGCUCCCGCUAC
rnacentral:tRNA from 1 species